AACACAGAUGAAAUGAUCUAGGUUUAAAAAUAGGAAAAGCCUAUAAAAAUCUGAAUGAGUGAUUUUAUUUUUGAAAUGCAACUUGAGAGAUUAUCUAAGGAUUUUAAAGGGUUAAAAUUCAGUUACCAGGGCAAAAUAGACCGACAGGUUAGUUUGGCCAAUCAGCUGACAGCAGGUAGGCCCGCCCACCUGCUCCCGCGUCUCUGGGAGCGAGCGAAAGUUUUUUUCCCCCGCUGCUGUGUGUGGAGAGACAGAAGUGCUGCUGUAGAGGAUGAAACCUGUGAAAAACGGAGAAACCUGGAGAAAAUACAGCUAAAAACGAACUACACUGAGGCUAACUUCAGCACUACAAACGUGGUAGCUAACUGCUGUGAGAGUUUAGCUGUAAGUUCAGUGUUUAGAUGUAGCGCUUGAGAGACUAGCAGCGUCGGUAGCUUUGAUGUCCGUAGGAUUUCCCGCCACGCGCAGUCUUUGCUGAUUCAAGAGCGAGAAGACCUUGUGGCUUUACUGGGCGCCGCCAUUUUGGGUGUGUGUGUCCAGCCGCUCUGGUGAAAUCGGUCAGGGUUUUUUUUUGUGUGUGUGUGUGUGUUUCUUCUGGAUCUGCGGAUGAAAACUGAUGGCGAGCCGUCCCUCUUGAAUGAUUGUGGGAGCCAUUCCCUCUUCAGGAUCACUGGACCAUCCCGCUACUACUGCACUUUGCGGUGUGGUAGGCCCCACUACAACACACAACCCCGUCACUCACCUUCACACUCCUUCCC